AUGGCCGCCGGCGGUGAUGGAGCUGGGGAUCCUGGUGGAGGAGCCAUGGCCGCCGUCGAACUCACGGAAGCGCUCAGAUGUGUAGGAGCGGCGGUGGAGAGCUGGGAUCCAGAUCCCAGCGUGGGGCGGUCCCGCGGUGAUGAUGGCCGCCCUGGGGAGCGGCUCAGGGCGGGCAGGGGCAGCGAGUGUUGGGCUGGCUGGCGGCUGUUGGGCUUGCAGCACUGGGAAAAGUCUUUUCUUUUUCUUUUUUCCUCUGCCUUUUCACAAUUACAGAAAUUGAGAAGAACAAAUUCUCAAAAAAAAUAUGAUAAGAACAAAGGCAAUGGGUAG
rnacentral:rRNA from 1 species